AGUGAACGCUGGCGGUAGGCCUAACACAUGCAAGUCGAACGGCAGCACAGUAAGAGCUUGCUCUUACGGGUGGCGAGUGGCGGACGGGUGAGGAAUACAUCGGAAUCUACUUUUUCGUGGGGGAUAACGUAGGGAAACUUACGCUAAUACCGCAUACGACCUACGGGUGAAAGCAGGGGAUCUUCGGACCUUGCGCGACUGAAUGAGCCGAUGCCGGAUUAGCUAGUUGGCGGGGUAAAGGCCCACCAAGGCGACGAUCCGUAGCUGGUCUGAGAGGAUGAUCAGCCACACUGGAGCUGAGCCACCGUCCAGGCUCCUACGGGAGGCCCCAGUGGGGAAUAUUGGACACUGGGCGCAAGCCUGCUCCAGCCAUACCGCGUGGGUGAAGAAGGCCUUCGGGUUGUAAAGCCCUUUUGUUGGGAAAGAACAGCAUCAGGUUAAUACCCCGCUGUUCUGACGGUACCCAAAGAAUAAGCACCGGCUAACUUCGUG
rnacentral:rRNA from 1 species